AAAAACAUGCAGUUUUUAGAAAAAGUGGGAUAGAUAUAGACAUUGUAACGUGAUAGCUCUUAAAAGUAGUGUGCUGAGUGAAAAAAAGUAAGAAACUGAAUAAGAUUAUAAUGUAAUACUAUUUUAUAGAAUAAAAUAUCCUAAACGGAUCACGAGGUCAGGAGAUCGAGACCAUCCUGGCUACCACGGUGAAACCCCGUCUCUACUAAAAAUACAAAAAAAUUAGCCAGGCAUGGUGGUGGGCGCCUAUAGUCCCAGCUACUUAGGAGGCUGAGGCAGGA
rnacentral:lncRNA from 1 species